UUAUGAGCCUGGGUAGCACACAUGUUUUGAAUAGUUUCAAUUUCAAAAGAACAACAAAUGCUGUUGAAAGCUGGGGCAAAAAAAAGAUGCCAGUAGGUGUGGUUAAGAUCUUCAGUUAUUGGAGCCACCUGGGCCCGGUGUUCUCCAGUAUAAAAGCGCAUCUCAUGUUCUGCACUCCGGGCUAGAGAGGAGGGAAACCCUGUUCCCCAUGCUCUUCCUUAUUUUUGUUUCUUUCACCAUACAACACUCCACUCACUAUUCCUUCAAGCAUGUAUACCUACUGACAUGACUGACCUAAUGAUUAUCACACUUCAUAGUAUUAUUUGAAUAAUAAGUUCUUUCUGUUUGCUUAAAAUUAAAAGUAAUGAUACCUUUACUACA